rnacentral:rRNA from 1 species
UCGCUACUACCGAUUGAAUGGCUUAGUGAGCUCUCUGGACUGUUGCACUUUCGUUGGAAACUUCGGGGAGCAUUCGGGAAGGAGAUCAAACUUGAUCAUUUAGAGGAAGUAA